UUUAAGUGCAAUCGUGAGUAUUUGUGCUCAACGUUUGACCGUCUGUUUUAUUUCAAAUUUUUUAUUAUUAGUAUUUUGUAUUGUUGUUAGAUGAUAAAAUAUGAAUAAUAUUUUACGCAUGACUUAUUUUUUUAUUUUUUUAUAAAUUUUUUAAAUAAGAUGGAUGGUUAAAUGAUGGACACAUAAACUUAUAACUGCACUUAAA
rfam:Oryza glumipatula chromosome 9, whole genome shotgun sequence.